rnacentral:rRNA from 1 species
CAGUCGCCGCGGUAAAACGGAGGGGGCUAGCGUUGUUCGGAAUUACUGGGCGUAAAGCGCGCGUAGGCGGUUACUCAAGUCAGAGGUGAAAGCCCGGGGCUCAACCCCGGAACUGCCUUUGAAACUAGGUGACUAGAAUCUUGGAGAGGUCAGUGGAAUUCCGAGUGUAGAGGUGAAAUUCGUAGAUAUUCGGAAGAACACCAGUGGCGAAGGCGACUGACUGGACAAGUAUUGACGCUGAGGUGCGAAAGCGUGGGGAGCAAACAGGAUUAGAUACCCCGGUAGUCCCUGUCUCUUAUAC